UACGGAGGAUGCAAGCGUUAUCCGGAUUUACUGGGUGUAAAGGGAGCGUAGACGGCGUGCCAAGUCUGAUGUGAAAGGCCGGGGCUCAACCCCGGGACUGCAUUGGAAACUGGCAUGCUGGAGUGCCGGAGGGGCAAGCGGAAUUCCUAGUGUAGCGGUGAAAUGCAUAGAUAUCACGCAGAACUCCGAUUGCGAAGGCAGCGUACCGGCGCCCAACUGACGCUGAAGCACGAAGGCGUGGGUAUCGAACAGG
rnacentral:rRNA from 1 species